GACGAACGCUGGCGGCGUGCUUAACACAUGCAAGUCGAACGGAAAGGCCCUGCUUUUGUGGGGUGCUCGAGUGGCGAACGGGUGAGUAACACGUGAGUAACCUGCCCUUGACUUUGGGAUAACUUCAGGAAACUGGGGCUAAUACCGGAUAGGAGCUCCUGCAGCAUGGUGGGGGUUGGAAAGUUUCGGCGGUUGGGGAUGGACUCGCGGCUUAUCAGCUUGUUGGUGGGGUAGUGGCUUACCAAGGCUUUGACGGGUAGCCGGCCUGUGAGGGUGACCGGCCACAUUGGGACUGAGAUACGGCCCAGACUCCUACGGGAGGCAGCAGUGGGGAAUAUUGCACAAUGGGCGGAAGCCUGAUGCAGCAACGCCGCGUGCGGGAUGACGGCCUUCGGGUUGUAAACCGCUUUCGCCUGUGACGAAGCGUGAGUGACGGUAAUGGGUAAAGAAGCACCGGCUAACUACGUG
rnacentral:rRNA from 1 species